UUGCUCUGUUUAACAAUUUCAAAACCUACAAAACUCGUUGAUUAGACCAAAGAUAAUGCAAUAAAAUCUUUUACAAAGCAAUAAAACGUCAAAAAAGUGAAAGAGGAAACUACGAGAUUAUUAUGAUCAUCCAGCAUAUAUUUUAAUGGAGCAAAAUUUGUAAUUCUUUUGCACCUCCAACCCCAGCUCGAGGAGAAUGAUGAAAUUCAUCCUCAGCAUAUAGGUUCAAGGGUGUUGUACCCUCCUGUUGGGAAAUAUUCCAAGAUGAUUACUCAAAUGCUACAUAAUGUUAUAAAUGAAGAAAAAAAGGGCAUAACAAAGUGAAAGAAAUAAAGAAAAAGAAGAGAAUUAACGUUAAAAUAGUUCCCAACCAGGAAUGCAAACAUGAGGAAUGUGUAUUCAGAAGUACGGGCCAAACCCAAUAGAUCCAACUCUCAAGCAACUAUAUUUUCAUACUUUGUAAUCUUUUUCUCACAGUAACUUGGUUCAUCAUAAAAAUAGAAAGACACUUAAAAAGGUAGUAUAUUUCUUGAGUUAGUAAUUAUUUAUGAAACAAACAAUUCGUGUAAAAAUCGACAUCUUUCAAAAUACUCGAUGGGAGUAUAAAGAUACCAUGUGUACAGUGAGGAUGUGUUUCUUGUAUGAACGUGCUGGGAGACAAAUGCCACUGGGGCAGCUGCUCCUUCAUACAAACUUAAUAUCGAAUAACAUUUUUGAUUAGUCUAAUCAUUAAAGAUAAUAAAAAUCACAAAUCAUAAAAUUCUAUAGUGGAGAGCUCAACAAACAAAAGCCGGAAAAUAAAAAAAAGAAUGGAAAAAACAAAAGUAGAAACCCUUCCCCAUUCUCUCUUCAUCUUCUCCAAAGAUGUUUACUGUUUAUUUUUCUAAGAAUAAAAGAACCAAAACAAAUGAAAUAAACACAGCAGUGGAUAAAUUUACACGUCCUUGGUUUCAACAAGCAAUCAUGUAUGUUUUAUUUAUUGCAACAUGUUCUUUCAUUCCAUUUUCCCCCAGAAAGACAUAAAACAGAACUUCCGAGCAUCGUGAAAGAGAUAUAUCCAAAAUUUGGCUUCCGUCGGUGACACAUGAGGCGUUAAAAUAUUUCUCAAAAUCCCGCUAACACUAACUAAACAAGUUGUUUUCUUUUUCUAUCUCAUAGGGUAAGUAUCAAAAUAAAUUUGUUUGCAUAGCAAUCGAUCUUGAAACUUCAUCAAAUUUUAGUAUAAAGUAGGAAACUCCUUAUAAGAUGAUAUAGUCAAAAAUUAGCUUCCGUUGGCAUCAUAUGAGGUAUUAAAAUAUUUUUCAACACCCAAUAGUGACUCGGUUGAAAGGUAAACUACUGUAGUUCACUUAAAAUGACAUAGAAAAUUCCACAGCUAUCAAAACCAUAUGAUUUCAAAUUUGUCCAGUAGCUAAUCCAUGAGACUAUCAAAUUCAAUUGAUUUCAUCCAAAAAUUCCAAGAAACGUUUGAAUUAUGAAUUUUUGAAGUCAAAGUAGAAGAUGAAAAAUAGCAACACUGGCCAGUGCAGUUUACCUUAUGUGACAUAUAAAAUUCUACCAACAUCGGAUUGACACUAUUCCAAGUUUAUUCAGUAGCUAACCUAUGUUGUUAUCUAGCGCCAUUGGUUUUGUCUACAAAUUCCAAAUAACGAGUGAGUUAUUAAUUUUUAAAUUCAAGACAGAAACAGAAAUUUUUAAAAGACAUCAAUACUUUUUAAUUUGCUAACACUUCCCUUUUUUUUUUUUUUUUUGUUUGUAAACGGUGUUUUGUAAAUUAACUUCUAUAACACAUAUCUACUUUUAAAUAUAACUUAUUCAUGAAAAAAAAAAUCUAAGAAUAGUUGCACAUAUGACGUUCAUAGAAAUCCAUAUAAAAAGAGACAAGUGUAAAUAUUUCAUGAUCAAAUUAAAAUUAUUAAAUCACCGGCUUCUUCCAUAACAUGUUGCAUCAUCCAUGCCCUAAGGAAAUCCGUUCAACCUGUAGGAAGGGAAUUGAUUCAUGAGUUUGAAACUCAAUAGAUAUCAUCGGUGCAUUUCCUUAUCAAAUUAGAAAUUUCGAACUAUAGAUUUAUACCGCCGCACGUAGAUGGAUUUUCGACAAAAUUCAAUUACUAUAGUAUCAUCAUAACAUGUAGAAUCGGAGAAUAAUCAUUCAAACUGUUGUAGUGCCAAAGCACUGUACCUUGAGGUACCAUUUCAUUCAAAAUUUAUCAAAAAAUCAUAAUUUGAAAAUGAAAUAAACAUUUGCACCUCUACUUACCUUGAAUUUUCUUGGAUAUAAAAGAACAAAAUAUGUAGAAAGCCUUUCUUCUUCUCACUUUGUUAUUCCCUCAAGUUUAAUUUGACAUGAAAUAUUUUUUUUAGAGAAAAUAAGAGUAAAUUUGGAUUUGAGGAGGAGAAUAGUGAAAAAAAUGACCUUACUCUUCUUGUAAUCUUCUUUUUUAAUAAAAAACUAAAUGUGGAAGUUGUAUUAUCAUUAGAUUUGUUAAAUUUGGUAUUUGACUAAGAAUUUGAAGAGUUUAUAAGCCGUAAAAAAUUAAUUAAUUUAAAAAGUUUUAUAAAAACAUCUACACGAUGAUUCGAACUUGGGUUGCCUAUAUGAAUACCAUGUAGAUGACCAUUGAGGCAACUCAAUUAUUUAUCAAAUCAUUGUAAUCAAAUUUAUUUAAACUUAAUCUCUUAAAUUGUUGGACUUUUAAUUAACUUAUAGCUUGGGCUUUCAUCAUCUUAAAUGGGUUGAGCUUCCAUAACUUGUUUCUUAAAUAGUCUAGACUUGUGGUGCUAGAUCAUCACAAAAUAAUAGCAUAAUUUCAUUUUAUUUCUCGGGCUUCUACAAAUCUCAACUAAUUUUCCCACUUCUCCAUCCUAUCGGCCUAAAAAUUUGUCCAAGUCAACUGCUCUCACUUGUUAUAUGUAGUUUACAAUACAAAAACACACACAUAUAUAUACAUAUAUGUAGAUAGAAAAUAAGAUAAAAUUGAACUUAGACUUAAGUAGAAACCACUAAAUUUGACAAUAAAAAUUAAUCUUCAACAAAUUUCAGAAGCAAUAAAGUAGAUAGAUACUUACAAAUGUUACGUCCAUGGAGUAAUUAAACUACAAAUAGCCAUAAGGUUUUCAAUGAAUUCGUUUUCCCUUUAAUAGAACCAAAUAACAGUAUACUAUAUAAAACAUACAAAACCACAUAAUUAAGAAAAUAAAAAAGAAAUGAACUCACCAAGAAAUCAUUACAGAACCUACUAAAAUGAAUCUACUAUGCACCAAGUGAUGAACCAAAGCUCCAAAACCACCAAUCCUCAAUAUGAAUUUCCAAUGCAAAUAUUAAAAAAAAAAAAAAAAAACUUGAAUAAAAACUGCAGAAAUGAUCUUAGCAAAACCAAGUAUAUAAUCUUGAAUAGAAUUUCAUUGAGUCCAGAUUAAGAAACUUGAAAACUUUAUAAAGGGAUUCGACAAGAUUACGAAUUUGUAGUUUUUGAUCCAAAACAAUUUCACCUCACAAUCCUAAAAAAUGGGAAAAAUCUCAAAUGAAGAAGAAGAAAGAGAAGAAUAUGCACUAAUGAAAUUGAACACAGUUUGAACACUAGAGAGGAAACUCAUUGUUGGUUUGAAAACUUACAUUGAUUUUUCCAAAUGUAAGCUCGUUGAAUUUUUUGAAACGAAGAAUAUAGAUUUCGAACCUCAACCCUUCACAGAGAAAAUAGUCCCUUUUAAAACUCUAUAAAACGAGGCCUCAGAAGAAGGAAAAGAGAUGAUUUUUGACUUGAAGAAGAAUUGUUUGGGAAUUUGAAGGAGUGAUUUAUUUUCUAAAAUUGUUAAUUGGGAAUUCGGGUUUCUAACGUGAAUGAGAG
rnacentral:lncRNA from 1 species